GUGAGUUUUUCUCUGAUAAUCUAGUGCUGCACGAACCGCUGCUUUAUGCUAAAUUUGAUCAUUGAAAAGUUCACUUUGUCUUGGAGCGUGUUCAAAUCUUCUGAACUGUCAAGCGGGCAUGUAUCGUCAACAAAAAGUUUGGUUAAGAAAUUGGAGCAGAACGACAAAUCACUUAUUGCGAUCAAGAAUACAAGGGGUCCUAAAACAGAACCUUGGGGAAUUCCACAAUGGAUGGGAGCAUCGGAGACCUGUGGCAAUUUACCUCAACAAAUUGUUGUCGACUAGACAGUUACUCAUCAUAGUUCAUUUCAUCAGCCAACAUAAUAUGAAUAAGAAGCAAAAUUUAGGUAUUGUUUGCAUUUUUCAUCUGCCUACAUAACGACAAGGAGAUUAACCCAAGGUAUGAGAUGCCAAAUUUUUUUGUUUGGCAAGAAGCGUAACAAAGAAUUUGGAAUUUAUACGGCUGUGAGUGUUUUCCUCAGAGCUCCUUGGAGCUUCCUGAUCUUUGUGCAUCAACUACAGAUUCAUAUAUUCCAUAGAUAGUCUGUCGUGUAAGAGCCAAAUUGAAUUGUGCACUUUAGAGCAGGGGUGUCAAACUCGUGGGUUUUCGAGGGCCUCAUCAUAUUGUGCAAGAGGCCACAAACAGUUUUUGAUAAUGUAUACUUGAAGCAUAUUUUUGGAUAGGUGUAUUUUGUAACAUAUAUUGUGAUGCAAUUGAACAGCCGAAUGAAGUUUUGUUAUUUUCUUAAAUGCCAUUUACAUAUACAUUUUUGCAUUUCACUAUUUUUACAGUUUAUUACAAAAAAUCAUAGUUUUAUGCACAACUAAUCAAAACACUUUUGAACAAGUUUUGAUAAGGAAAGAAUAGUACAUAGCCUACACUAAAAAUGACUUAAUCUGGAUAUAUAGACAUAAAAUUUACAAAAAUACUACAGAAUAAACUCAAUAUUUUUUAUUACGUAUGUCCUGACGUUUGGCAUCUUUUUUAUGCCACCAACUUACUAAUAUCUUAAAUGAUUUUACAGUAACAACUCUAAUUAACAUUGUCACGUGAUCAUCGGUUAAUCUGGAUCUUUGAAAAUGUUUGAUUAAUUUCAGCAAUUCAUAGAGUUUCAUGUAUAGAUCAGUAAACAAACAAAUGACUAACUUUUCGGACCAGACAUUUCCGCCACAUUUUGUACUAUUAAGUGGUAUGUUUUUCCUUGAGCAUCGACUUCCUCGUUUACUUCGUGACAUUGGCCAAUCAGCAAGCUACAAAAAGUGGCGUAACAAUGUUCCUUUUCCCAUCCGCUCAGACACCUUUUUCACUCAGACAUAUUUUCAGGCGUGGUCGUAAACAUUCCUUCGUUUUCGCGUUUUUGAAUUCUAUUAGUUAGUUUUCAGUUGUGUUUCGGAAAUUUAAAUAUAAAUCAAAUAAUUUAAUUUUCAUUUUGUCUUCUUAGAAGUUUCUGUUUAAUUGCAGUAAUAAAAAAUUAGUGCAGAAAGAGCUGUGAUAAACUAGGCCAAAAUUCUUUACCGUUACUUGUAAAAAACAAAUUGUUGAAUGCUAUGAAUCAGAAUGACGGUUUGAAACAAAUACCCCAUUACAGGCGCCAACUCGCGAA